AGACCCGAAACCCGGUGAUCUAGCCAUGGGCAGGUUGAAGGUUGGGUAACACUAACUGGAGGACCGAACCGACUAAUGUUGAAAAAUUAGCGGAUGACCUGUGGCUGGGGGUGAAAGGCCAAUCAAACCGGGAGAUAGCUGGUUCUCCCCGAAAGCUAUUUAGGUAGCGCCUCGUGAAUUCAUCUCCGGGGGUAGAGCACUGUUUCGGCUAGGGGGCCAUCCCGGCUUACCAACCCGAUGCAAACUGCGAAUACCGGAGAAUGUUAUCACGGGAGACACACGGCGGGUGCUAACGUCCGUCGUGAAGAGGGAAACAACCCAGACCGCCAGCUAAGGUCCCAAAGUCAUGGUUAAGUGGGAAACGAUGUGGGAAGGCCCAGACAGCCAGGAUGUUGGCUUAGAAGCAGCCAUCAUUUAAAGAAAGCGUAAUAGCUCACUGGUCGAGUCGGCCUGCGCGGAAGAUGUAACGGGGCUAAACCAUGCACCGAAGCUGCGGCAGCGACACUCA
rnacentral:rRNA from 3 species